UCUCCGUUGGUGAACCAGCGGAGGGAUCAUUACUGAGCUACCGCUCUACAACCCUUUGUGAACAUACCUAACUGUCGCUUCGGCGGGCAGAGUUCCCUCGCGGAUCUCUCCCGGCAACGCCCUCACGGGCGGAGCGCCCGCCGGAGGAUACCAAACUCUAUUUUAACGACGUUUCUUCUGAGUGGCACAAGAAAAUAAUUAAAACUUUUAACAACGGAUCUCUUGGUUCUG
rnacentral:misc_RNA from 1 species